rnacentral:rRNA from 1 species
UACGUAGGGGGCAAGCGUUGUCCGGAAUCAUUGGGCGUAAAGCGCGUGUAGGCGGCUCGAUAAGUCUGCUGUGAAAGUCCAGGGCUCAACCCUGGGAUGCCGGUGGAUACUGUCGAGCUCGAGUCCGGAAGAGGCGAGUGGAAUUCCUGGUGUAGCGGUGAAAUGCGCAGAUAUCAGGAGGAACACCAAGUGGCGAAGGCAGGCGUC